rnacentral:rRNA from 1 species
CCUACGGGAGGCUGCAGUAGGGAAUAUUGCUCAAUGGCGGAGACCCUGAAGCAGCAACGCCACGUGGAGGAUGACGGUUUUCGGAUUGUAAACUCCUUUUGUUAGAGAAGAUAAUGACGGUAUCUAACGAAUAAGCACCGGCUAAAUCCGUGCCAGCAGCCGCGGUAAUACGGAGGGUGCAAGCGUUACUCGGAAUCACUGGGCGUAAAGGGCGCGUAGGCGGGAUAGAAAGUCAGAUGUGAAAUCCUAUGGGUUAACCAUAGAACUGCAUUUGAAACUGUUAUUCUAGAGUAUGGGAGAGGUAGGUGGAAUGCGUGGUGUAGGGGUAAAAUCCAUAGAGAUCAAGAAGAAUACUCAUUGCGAAGGCGACCUGCUAGAGCAUAACUGACGCUGAUGCGCGAAAGCGUGGGGAGCAAACAGGAUUAGAUACCCGGGUAGUC